rnacentral:rRNA from 1 species
UGGGGAAUAUUGCACAAUGGGCGCAAGCCUGAUGCAGCACCGCCGCGUGAAGGAAGACGGUUUUCGGAUUGUAACCUUCUGUUCUUAGUGAAGAAGAAUGACGGUAGCUAAGGAGCAAGCAAUGGAUACCUACGUGCCAGCAGCCGCGGUAAUACGUAGGUGGCAAGCGUUGUCCGGAAUUACUGGGUGUAAAGGGAGCGCAGGCGGGGGAACAAGUCAGUUGUGAAAUCCAUGGGCUUAACCCGUGAACUGCAGUUGAAACUGUUCUUCUUGAGUGAAGUAGAGGUUGGCGGAAUUCCGAGUGUAGCGGUGAAAUGCGUAGAUAUUCGGAGGAACACCGGUGGCGAAGGCGGCCAACUGGGCUUUUACUGACGCUGAGGCUCGAAAGUGUGGGGAGCAAACAGG